ACUUUGGUAGUGCAGUGGUUAGCAUGCACCUUGAAAGAAGUGAGAUGCGGGUUCAACUUCGGCGCGAAGUU